ACGUGGCUAUUGGUCAGUGAAGCUGUGAAAUCUUUUUCACUGCUGCCUUUAUUUAUACCUGUGUUCAACUUAAUGUGAGCAACCCCCUCUGAAUUUCUUUCCUUAACCCAAAUAUAACCUGGCAUUUGAUGGCACAGCAGGCAGAAGUGCUGACAGGGGCCCCUGCCUCCCCUACCACCUCUCCCUUCCUCUCAGCGGGGAGAGGAGUCCUAGGUCCGCAUGAGUUUCCUUGCAUGGGGUUUGACGGCAGACAGGCCUGCUCUGAAACUCAUCUCUGUUCAUUACUAGCUGUGUGGCCUUAGGCAAAUAACUCAACCUCUCUGUACCUCAGUUCCUUCAUCAGUAUGAUUAAAUGAGAUAAUGUUUGUAUGGUGCAUAUCCCAGUGUGGCACACAGAGAAUGCCAUCAUUAUUAGCUAUGCAGGUCAAAUCAGUUCACUUCUGGCCUGCAGCUUGUCCCCACUCACCUGCCUGGGUCCUUUCCAUUAUCUGUGUUCCAUGCCUGUGUUUUCACCUUUCUUUCCCGUGGCAUAUAAACAUGUUUGGCUCAUCCAACAUAUAAACAUGUUAGAGCAUCCUUCCCUGGACCUGGUCUUUUCUGGUCUGAUCCUGGAUUUUGUAUCCCCUUCACUUCUGGUCCCUACUCAGCUCUUGUUCCUCAGCCUCCUGCUCUGGGUGCACCUGCUCCCCAGCC
rnacentral:lncRNA from 10 species